CGAGUGUCACCUGAUCACUAAGGGCUGUAAUAUUAGCAUCAUACAUUGUAGCUGUAACUGUGUUACCCUGUUCAAUGUUAGAAAGAGAUAAAUAUGUGAAUAGAAAAUAUAGUUAUAGUGAAAGCUACAAGAUUCUUGUAAUUAUUAGUAUGUAGUAACCUGCAAGUCCAUGAAGAUAAGAUUUUGAUAUCGAGUUGUAGAGUUACGUGCAGUUUUUGGUGCCUGCUUUCUUGCAACAAUAAGCUUUGCAGACCAGUUCAUCUCUGAUAUAGUAAUUUGUGGGAUAAACUUGUAAGUUGCAACCAUUUUUUAUAUCUGUCAUUUGCAUGAAAAAUAAGUUAAAAGUGUAAAACGAUGUAGUUACGAAUAUAAAACUAUGGCUGUAUUUAUUAGGCAAAUGUAAGGAAGUUAUUAAUGGAAAAGACGAAGAAAGAGUUGUAGACUGGAUAUGUAAAAAAUUACCAGCAGCAAAUUGAAGUUUAGAUUUCUGAAGUGUUGGAAGUUAUAAGUGAUAAUUGUAAACUGGAUUUAUUAGGCAAAUGUAAGGAAUUUAUUAAUGCAAAAGACUAAGAAAGAGUUGUAGACUGGAUAUGUAAAAAAUUACCAGCAGCAAAUUGAAGUUUAGAUUUCUGAAGUGUUGGAAGUUAUAAGUGAUAAUUGUAAACUGGAUUUAUUAGGCAAAUGUAAGGAAUUUAUUAAUGCAAAAGACUAAGAAAGAGUUGUAGACUGGAUAUGUAAAAAAUUACCAGCAGCAAAUUGAAGUUUGGAUUUCUGAAGUGUUGGAAGGUGAAAGUGAUAAUUGUAAUACGUUUGUAUGGUUACAAACCUGAAAAUGAAGUAUUGAGUGUAGCUAUUUAUAGAAAAUUUAUGGAGGAAGCCUAUUUUAAUAUACAUAUUUUGACUUUUCAAUACACAUUUUCAAAUGUUCAGAAGAUAAGGAUUAAUAGUACAAAUUAACAUGUGUCAAUUGUAAAAUAUCUAUUGUCAAAAGUAUCUGGAAAAUUGCUAUAAAGUUAAUUUUGUUUUUUCCUUGUAAUAAAUGGAAGAUUUUCUUCUAUUUACUGUAUCAUAGUACAUACUACGUGUAUGUAGAAGGUAUCUGGAAAAAAUUCUGAGGAGAAAUUUUUUUAAGAGUCCUUUUUUCCUUCAGAUGAUAGAAGUUGCAAUUAUACAAGAACAUGUGAAAAUGUAAUUGUUGGUGCAUUUGUGAAAUAAAUAAUUGUAUAUAGUAGGAUUCAAUUAUUUCUUAGUAGUAUGUGAGUAAUGAAAUUUGUAAAUGAACGAGGUGAUUUUAAGUACAUGUACCUUUUAUAUACUGCUCAUCAUAAUUUUUCAGUUCAUAUGCAGUGUUUAUUUGUCCUACUGCUUUUUUGCGUAACAGGAAAAGAAAGUACUGAGUAAAUUAUACUUGGAAUAGUAACUACAUUGAUAGAAAUGUUGUAAGAAAAUAAAUUUAUUAGUUGAUAUUAUAAAAAGUAGAUCUAUUUGCCUAUUUUACCUGUUGGAAAUGAAUGGAUUGGUUCAUCUCAUAUGAAGUUUUAUUAUAACAUCAAUGUCAUCUGAUGGACAAGAGAACAAGAAAUGAGCUUGUGUUCAAAUGUACUGAUUUUUUACAAAACAUAAGUGGAAUGUUGGUAUUCAGCUACUGUGCCCCUUUGCCUGAUCUUACUAAAAGCUUCUAUAACCUCUUCACUGGUAGCUUCUGCAAAUCUCCUGCACACCUCCUUAGAGAAUAAAUCCCAGUGAGCAUUGGGAUUGCUACUGAUGAAGCCAUGAAACCACACAUCUGCUUUCCCUUUUAAAUACAUUUCAGCACUAAUGUUGCUAUGCUGCCAAUGAAAUAAGUUAGAUAUAUAUCAGAUUUUGCAAAUAAAAUUCGCAAAUGAAGGAUUUCUCUGUGUCUCUCUCUCUCUUUUCAUGAUUUUCAUAAUAUAGUUUAACAGAACAUAUUAGAAUAUAUGCGACAUAGUUAAGGGAUUGCAAACAUAAAUAAAACUUUGAUUGGUAUUACUACCCGAUGUGGAUCCCAGGCGUGCUGUGAGUAGUCCCUCGCCGUUGUAAAUCUGAACUGGCGUAUCCAUUUUUUGUUUGUCUCUAGAUUUCCCCUUUUGCUCCAUCAUUUGGGCCAUCAUUGCCACCAACGAUUCAUGCUUAGAAUUCAGUUCACCUAUCAUAAUCUCCAUACGAUCUUGCUUGUUACAUAGGGCCUUUAGGGGGUGUUCUCUUUGUAUUUCAAUUUUGUGUUUUGAGUUUUAAAUUCAUUUUGAGUUUUGUGUUUUGAGUGUUUGUUUUAAAAUUGUUGAAAAUGCGUUCUUUUUGUUAGUUUCUCAAAACAAAAAAAAUGAAUUUUUUUUUUUUGAAAUUUUGAGAAUCACAACAAGAUCGCCUCAAAAAGAUCACCUCAAAAAAAAAAUAAUAAUAAAUAAAUAAAUAAAUAAAUUUACACUGAAAACGGUGUUUCCCACGUUUUCAGUUUUUUCAAGUUUUACACUGAAAACGCCCAAAACGACAAAAAAGUCGUUUUGUGUUUUCUUCACAAAUUUUUUUUUCGUUUUCGAAAACGAGAAAGAAAACACGUUUUCACCGUUUUGAGAAAAAUCGAAAACAGAAAACGGCCCGAAAACGGUAAAGAGAACAGGGCCUAAGCAGUUUGAAUCUGAUACAUAAAAUACAAAAAACGAAAAAACAUUUGACGAUUGUGAAUCUAAAUGAGAACUGUAAGAUUGAACUAAAAUUCAGCAAGAUUUGUCUUAUGGAAGAAUACCUGAUGUUUGUCACAAGCAACGGAAGAAAUACUAUCUUCUCUCAUUUGGAUUCUCACCGACAAUCAUUGUAAUAUGCAAAAUAGGAAAAUUAGUAAAACAAAUGUAGAAUUGUAAUUUAAACUCUGAACUCAAUGAAUUGUUAAAUUUCAUAAAGUGACAGUAAACAAUUUUCAAUUAAAGUAAUCUAAUUUUUGCAUUCUAUUUGAACAAAUUAGCAUUUGAUUUAGUAGAGUGCUGGGAAAGUGAUAGACAAAGAGGAAAUGCAAUAAAUUGAAGAUUAUAGAAAAGAUAAAUACAUUGAAAAAUAAUGUGACCACUGGAAAAUAACGAAAGUGAACCCACUACAUAAACAAGUAGGGAAAUACUUUAAUCAAUUGGCGCCGGUGAAAAUUGAAAUGGGAAAAUAGAUAAAGUGUAGAAAAAAAUAAAUAUUAC
rnacentral:lncRNA from 1 species